GACAUUACGUUUUCAAGAACACUCCUGUACAAAUGGAAAUGCACAGAGAGCAUGAUUUUGUCAGAUGUCUAGCCACUCAGAUAAAUCUGCCCUGCUAAUCAUGGCUUCCCACCUACAUUCCUAACAGAGAAAGAGGAAUCCCAAGUUCCUAUUGCCAAAGACAUCCCUAGGCCCUGGAACGCAAUGCCAUAAAGAGGCAAAAAACUAACAAAUAAUGAUGGAUCCCUAACUAUUUGGAAAGAUGGAACUACGUGGCUACAGACCUUUUCUCCAAAGACCCCCAUAAGCUAGAAGGCUGGAGUUAGGGAGAUUGUACAAGAGACUGGCCUGUAAAAGGAGCCCACAAAUCUGAACUCCAUGCUGAGCCAUUCAACAAGAAGUGCAGUAUGAAGCCAAAAUGCUGAAGCGGCCCAUGCAAUGCUGGGAUAGGUGGGCAGAACUCACACCGGUGUGACAUAUUUAUUUCUGCCGUUGUUAUCUUUCCGAGGCAUGGAUGACCAGAUAUGGACCAGGAUCUGCUUACCUUGUUAUACUGGCCUUUUGCUGGAUUAACUUAAAACAGCUGAGUAAAUAAACUACAAGACUUUUUAGACACCUUUAAAGGGAAACAAUCAUAUCCGCUCUAGGAGAAGUGGAGUGCUCAAAACACAAAGCAGUAAUGGAAAAGCCAGUGAAAUCAAAAUUAAUGCCAGGUUGUCUUAGCAGGCCUUUAACAGUCCAGAUAGAACCUUCCCCCUUUCUGGUCCAGGGCCUGUUUGCACAUGGGCAAGGACCAAAAAAACCCAUCCUCUACCAUGUCACUGAGUUCAAGCUUCACUUUUCUUAUGAGAAGACAUCUGCAGCCCGUAAAACUGAUAGCAACAAUCUUCUGCCCUGAAGUGCCUUUUAAGAAAUUAUUUACCUGAAAUCCAUCCUUCUCAUUAUACAUGAGUCCCUAAAUAGUUGCCAGGAAUAGCUCUUUUCACUGUUGUCAUGGAAAACAACAAAGGAGAAUCCCUGCCUCAGAUAAGCGAAGGCCCAUGUGCCAUAAGGAAGGGAAGCGAGCCAUCAAAUCCCAUAAAAAAGGUGAUGUGUUGCUUGAGUUUAUGUGUUUUCCUAUAACUGUUCUUUUUAUCAAGAUGACUUGUAUUAUUUUCAUUGAAUGUAAUAGAUUCUUUAGCCCAUCUUUACCUUUAUGUGACCUUGGAUUUUAUGGCAUGAUAACUGUGUCGAUUACAGUCGAGUUGGAUACAAAUCAACUCUGGAAUAACCUGGAUGACAGGAGGGCGAUGAGCUGCAGGUAAACAAGGCGGGCUCCUGUUAGGAGGUGGGGGUGGGGAAUUCCCACAGGGGUUAUAGCCCAGGGGUGGGGACAACCUUCCCGAGAGCUGGUGGGAUGGGAUGAGAGCCGCACAAUCAGCCUCUUGCUGAUGGUUCCAUUUGGUUUCCAGGCCUGCACUUGGAAAAACAAAAUGUGAUCCCAUCCCUGAUCUAACCUGGGCUUCCCCCAAGGCAAGCUUUAUACUUUGCCUCUUCCCCAAUUUCCCCAUAUUAUUAACUGCUUCCACUUCUUGAAAGUGGGCUUGGUGCCAUGCAAUGUGUUUGUGCUUUAGAGGCACGGACUCCCUCAUUUAAUUCUCACAACAGGCAUUGACUCCCUCAUUUAACUCUUGCCAAAUAUUUGUAUCCCCUAUUACAAGUGAGGUGCCUGAGGUAUAGAAAUUGAAUGCUUUGCUCAAGAAGUAGCUGGGACACAAAUGGACGCUUGAUGCUCAUGUUAAGAAGAAUAUUGGAGCUUUUCUUUUUUUCUUUCUUAUUUAACAUUCUUUUUUUCCUCAAGGCAUUGCCUUCAUUGUCAGCCCUCUCCACUUCAAAUUUUCAAAGCUGGUGUUUAAAUUCUUACUGAAAGAAAUGACAAGACUUCUCAAUAACAAAGAUCUCAGAUUUGAAAAAUGAAAGUUCAUCAUGUGCAUCUGCUGUGUGGAGAUUUACAUUUUGCAACUAUUUUGCUCAGCAUCAGGGCUAUGUGAGCUGCUGCAAUUAUGUGUCCUCCUGCCCUGUCUCCUCCAGAGGGCAAGGAUUUCUGCCCAGAAGGACUGACCGGCCAUAUUCACAGAUCUUGGGCCAAUGCUCCAUCAGCCAUGUUGUGAGAACAAAGGCUUUGGAACAUGUACUCAGGCAAAAAAAGACAAUGUGACUGUGGGAAGUGGCAGCAGGUGGUACAACUUAUCUUCCUGAAAUCCAGCUUGGGGAGUUUGACUUGAAAUAAAUGACCAGGAUGAACUGCUGGGUUGUGUUCACUGUGAGAACAUGGCAAUGUUUCUCCCCAUCUAGUACUGGGAAUGAAACUGUCUUUUCUGGUUCCUGGCAAUCUUUAACUGGGAAGAAAAAUAAAAAUAGAUGAGCAAAACUACCUCCCUUUGAGUUAUAAUCUUCAUAUUCAUGGAAGGACGCACAUCCGCUUUUUGGCAGAUUUCUGCAGGAAAUUGAUCAAAGAGUCAAGAACUCUUGCCCACAUGCCUUGGUUCCUUCUCUAAACCCCUCUCAUCUCCUCACCCACCUGGUCAACCUCUGUCUUCCACCCCAAGUGUCUUCAG